GAUGAACGCUGGCGGCGUGCCUAAUACAUGCAAGUCGAGCGAACGGACGAGAAGCUUGCUUCUCUGAUGUUAGCGGCGGACGGGUGAGUAACACGUGGAUAACCUACCUAUAAGACUGGGAUAACUUCGGGAAACCGGAGCUAAUACCGGAUAAUAUUUUGAACCGCAUGGUUCAAAAGUGAAAGACGGUCUUGCUGUCACUUAUAGAUGGAUCCGCGCUGCAUUAGCUAGUUGGUAAGGUAACGGCUACCAAGGCAACGAUGCAUAGCCGACCUGAGAGGGUGAUCGGCCACACUGGAACUGAGACACGGUCCAGACUCCUACGGGAGGCAGCAGUAGGGAAUCUUCCGCAAUGGGCGAAAGCCUGACGGAGCAACGCCGCGUGAGUGAUGAAGGUCUUCGGAUCGUAAAACUCUGUUAUUAGGGAAGAACAUAUGUGUAAGUAACUGUGCACAUCUUGACGGUACCUAAUCAGAAAGCCACGGCUAACUACGUG
rnacentral:rRNA from 1 species